AUGAACGCUGGCGGCGUGCCUAAUACAUGCAAGUCGAGCGAACGGACGAGAAUCUUGCUUCUCUGAUGUUAGCGGCGGACGGGUGAGUAACACGUGGAUAACCUACCUAUAAGACUGGGAUAACUUCGGGAAACCGUAGCUAAUACCGGAUAAUAUUUUGAACCGCAUGGUUCAAAAGUGGAAGACGGUCUUGCUGUCACUUAUAGAUGGAUCCGCGCUGCAUUAGCUAGUUGGUAAGGUAACGGCUUACCAAGGCAACGAUGCAUAGCCGACCUGAGAGGGUGAUCGGCCACACUGGAACUGAGACACGGUCCAGACUCCUACGGGAGGCAGCAGUAGGGAAUCUUCCGCAAUGGGCGAAAGCCUGACGGAGCAACGCCGCGUGAGUGAUGAAGGUCUUCGGAUCGUAAAACUCUGUUAUUAGGGAAGAACAUAUGUGUAAGUAACUGUGCACAUCUUGACGGUACCUAAUCAGAAAGCCACGGCUAACUACGUG
rnacentral:rRNA from 1 species